AAUCAACGCUGGCGGCGUGCCUAACACAUGCAAGUCGCACGAGAAAGGGACUUCGGUCCUGAGUACAGUGGCGCACGGGUGAGUAACACGUGAAUAAUCUACCUCCGAGUGGGGAAUAACUGAGAGAAAUCUUAGCUAAUACCGCAUAACACUUACGAGUCAAAGCAGCAAUGCGCUUGGAGAGGAGUUCGCGGCAGAUUAGUUAGUUGGCAGGGUAANGGCCUACCAAGACGAUGAUCUGUAUCCAGCCUGAGAGGGCGCACGGACACACUGGAACUGAAACACGGUCCAGACU
rnacentral:rRNA from 1 species